ACAGUGAAACCGCGAAUGGCUCAUUACAUCAGUUACGGUUCCUUGGAUCUUUGAUUGUUACACGGAUAACUUUCGGGAAUUCUAGAGCUAAUACGUGCCAUGAAGCUCCGACUCACGAAGGAGCGCACUUAUUAGACCAAAACCAAUCGACUCACGUCGUGGUAUGGUGACUCUGGAUAACCUCGUGCCGAUCGCAUUGGCCUCGAGCCGGCGACAAAUCCUUAAAUGUCUGACCUAUCAACUUUCGAUGGUAGGUGAUGUGCCUACCAUGGUGGUUACGGGUAACGGGGAAUCAGGGUUCGAUUCCGGAGAAGGAGCCUGAGAAACAGCUGCUACUCCUACGGGAGGCAGCAGGCGCGCAAAUUACCCACUCCCGGAAUGGGGAGGUAGUGACGAAAAAUAACGACUCCGGGCCUUCUAGGCUUCGUGAUCGGAAUGAGAAAACUCCAAACCCGUUAACGAGGAUCAAAUAGAGGGCAAGUCUGGUGCCAGCAGCCGGGGUAAUUCCRGCUCUAUUGGCGUAUAUUAAAGUUGUUGC
rnacentral:rRNA from 1 species